CAACCUGCCGUCUACUCUUGGACAGCCUUCUGAAAGGAAGAUUAAUACAAGAUGGCAUCAUGAGUCCGCAUGUUCACAUGAUUAAAGGUAUUCCGGUAGACGAUGGGGAUGCGUUCCAUUAGAUAGUAGGCGGGGUAACGGCCCACCUAGUCUUCGAUGGAUAGGGGUUCUGAGAGGAAGGUCCCCCACAUUGGAACUGAGACACGGUCCAAACUCCUACGGGAGGCAGCAGUGAGGAAUAUUGGUCAAUGGGCGAGAGCCUGAACCAGCCAAGUAGCGUGAAGGAUGACUGCCCUAUGGGUUGUAAACUUCUUUUAUAAAGGAAUAAAGUCGGGUAUGGAUACCCGUUUGCAUGUACUUUAUGAAUAAGGAUCGGCUAACUCCGUGCCAGCAGCCGCGGUAAUACGGAGGAUCCGAGCGUUAUCCGGAUUUAUUGGGUUUAAAGGGAGCGUAGAUGGAUGUUUAAGUCAGUUGUGAAAGUUUGCGGCUCAACCGUAAAAUUGCAGUUGAUACUGGAUAUCUUGAGUGCAGUUGAGGCAGGCGGAAUUCGUGGUGUAGCGGUGAAACGCUUAGAUAUCACGAAGAACUCCGAUUG
rnacentral:rRNA from 1 species